AUACGUAGGGGGCGAGCGUUGUCCGGAAUGACUGGGCGUAAAGGGCGUGUAGGCGGCCGAUUAAGUCUGGAGUGAAAGUCCUGCUUUCAAGGUGGGAAUUGCUUUGGAGACUGGUUGGCUUGAGUGCGGAAGAGGUAAGUGGAAUUCCCAGUGUAGCGGUGAAAUGCGUAGAGAUUGGGAGGAACACCAGUGGCGAAGGCGACUUACUGGGCCGUAACUGACGCUGAGGCGCGAAAGCGUGGGGAGCGUACAGGAUUAGAUACCCUGGUAGUCCACGCGGUAAACGAUGAAUGCUAGGUGUAGGGGGUAUCGACCCCUCCUGUGCCGGAGUGAACACAAUAAGCAUUCCGCCUGGGGAGUA
rnacentral:rRNA from 1 species